UCCGCGCGAUAUCGAGCGCCUCCUGCAUCCGAGAGGCUGUAGCGGCGACCUCAUGCCCGAGUUCGCAUAGUGUAUCUUCAAUCAGCAUGGCGAUCAUGGAUUCGUCUUCGACCACGAGAACCCGAAGUCU
rnacentral:sRNA from 1 species